GGGGAUUUAGCUCAGUGGUUCCAGCAUCUGCCUCGCAAGCACAAGGGCCCAAGUUCAAUCCCCA
rfam:Fukomys damarensis contig153989, whole genome shotgun sequence.